AAACCCUAAACCUAGGUGCACAUGUCAUGAAAGGUGGGUUUGGCACAAGCCAAAAUUACUAAGCACACCAUACUCUAACUUAUUCUUCUAUUUGGCACCCCUGAAGUGAGCAAAAUUUAUUUUACAUAAACUUAUCUUGUGAAAAGACUAGAAGGAAAACAACUGACAUUCUGGUCCAUGUUUGGUUCUUCUUCUGCUGAGGCUUUUUUGAGGGUCUGGUGGGGUUUGGUCUUGUAUGUUGAGAUGACUAACUUAGUUGUGAAGUCUCUGUGUCCUUGAUCAUCUGCUUGUCGAGUUGUAUCAUAUUAUAAGAACAUGUAAUAUCUAUUUCACUAAACACUAAUUAGAGUUAGAAAAUUAGAGUUAGAAAGUGAUAGUACAAAGGUAGUAACUAAAAUGAAAGUAUAAACUUAUAUUUUGACAAACAAAUGAAUUUAACAUCCAAAUCAUUCAAAUAAUAUUGAACAAGAUUCUAAUCUUAAAAAAAUCAAAAGUAUCAACCUACAUAAUUAAAAAUAGCAGAUAAUUAUAAUGAAUAAAUAAUGAUAAAAAUUAUAAAUAAUUUUUGUUGGUGAAUUAUUCGUGAACCUACUUAUUAUUCGUGAACCUACUUUUAAUCUGAACGUGUUCAACCUGGUUAAAGGAGUUGGGUUCAAUUUGAUCUACAUUUUAAAGAACUGUAGUUUUUUUCAACAAGAACCUGGUAAACCUUGUUGGCUUUGGUUUGAGUUCAUUUUGACACUCUUAUUUGUUUUCCACAGUGGUAACCAAUUUAUUUAUAAUAUUUAAAAAAAAUUUAAUUUAUGUAAAAUUAAAAUUAAAGAUAUAUAAUUUAUUUGGACGAGUCCUUAUAAGAACUAAAUCAAUUCAUGCAAAGUUAAAAUAAAACUUUUAUAUGUGAAACAUUUAACAAAUUAAGUUAUAUAUAAUCUAAUUUCAACUUAUAAAAGUUAUUUUUUUUAUACCAGAAACUAAGACUAAUUAUAAUUUAUUGCAUCAUCAUCUGUACACUGUCUUUAACACAGAAAUUGACUAGUCUGAGAAGCAAAUGAAGGGCCAUACUACGGCUUCAUUUAAUGGCCGCUAAAUUGGUAACUAUCUUCCCCAAAUAGAAGGUAAUUAAAGUGACACUAAAUAACACCUUAACCAUUCUCAGAAAUAAGUGUCCUCAACCAACAACCAAAGAGACACUAUCAUAUGCAUUAAGCUGCUUUGUAAAAACUGUUUAUAUAUUUGAAAAUGUAAUGGAGUAAUAGAUGGAAAACAGUAUCUUUUGCUAAAGAAACCUGCACUUAACUCACCGUCAUAUUACUCACCAAACUCAGUACAAUCUGUGACUAUAAAACACACCUACAGCUUUCAACUUCAUCACAAAAACAUAUAUCAACCAAAAUCAUCUUAAUAUGGCUUCCAAACUUUCCUCCCUCCUUGCCUUUCUUCUCAUCACCACUAUCCUUCUUGCCACCACAUGGCAAGGAGUUGCAAGACGCCACACUAAACCAAAGAACUCACACAAAGCAGACAAGAAAGAACCUCAAUUUUUGUUCCCUCCUGAUGGCUAUAUUCCUGGCUUUGGGAGAUUAGGGUUUCCUCCUUUCUUUGGCUUUACACCUCAAAAUCCUAACACUGGUGGUGGUGGUGUAGUAGAGCCAGAACCAGUUUCAGGUGGUGGCAGUGGAUUAGAGCCAGCUCCAGUUUCAGGUGAUGGCAGUGGAGUAGAGCCAGCACCAGUUUCAGGUGGUGGCAAUGGAUUAGACUCACCACCAGUUUCAGGUGGUGGAUAUGUUCCAGGUGGCGAUGACACCUUUGUCCCAAACCCUGGCUUUGAGGUUCCAAGCCCUAGAAGUGGCGGUGGAGUUCCAGUUCC
rnacentral:lncRNA from 1 species